GGAAGCCGAGGAGCUCCAAGCCUGCCAUCUACCUGCAGUUUCUCCAGCCACCUCAGCUGGCCCACACCAUGCCGGUGCAGGCCAGCCUGUCCCCCUUAGGAGAUUCCCUCCUAGCUGAGGUGUGGACAGUCAGAAUGACGGACACUCACAAAGGCAAGUACCCAGGCUCCAGCAAAGCAGCAAAGCAGCAAAGGGUUCCCCGGUCUAAGCAGCAGGAUAUGGAUCCUUUCCCAAAGGACCCUUCCUCUCAGGGGCCGGACCCAAAGGCACGCUGGAGCCUCGCACAGACCCCUGGUGCCACCUAAUGGACAAAGAUGGAACUUCAUGAGAGAUCCAAAAUAAACA